rnacentral:rRNA from 1 species
CCUACGGGAGGCAGCAGCAGGGAAUAUUGCACAAUGGGCGAAAGCCUGAUGCAGCGACACCGCGUGCGGGAUGAAGGCCCUCGGGUUGUAAACCGCUUUCAGGAGGGACGAAAAUGACGGUACCUCCAGAAGAAGGCCCGGCCAACUACGUGCCAGCAGCCGCGGUAAU